rnacentral:lncRNA from 1 species
UCAAAACGGUUUUCCUAAUGGGAUAAAAUUCAUUUACUGUGUAUUAUAAUUGGCUGCAAAAAAUGUCUGAAUUGCCUGUCCAGGUACUAGAACUACUUACAUUUCACUAAGAGAAAUUAUGCAAUUGUUUAUAAGAAAAAGUUCAUUUUCCAAAAUCCAAAGCUCAUUUCAAGCAGAAAAAAGCAGCUUUCUCCUAGAGUAAACUCUCUCUCUCUCUCUCUUAGCCUCUUUAAGCCGUUUAACCAAAUCCUGAAAUGAUUACACAGUUUGCACCCAGCAUCCUCCCUCAGGGAAGAGCUCUGCAUCAACUUCAGUGGAAAUGGUGCCUGGAGGAUUUCUUAAAGAGACAGCCUACCAUGAAUACUAAACCUAGACAUAUUGGGCUCCAUCCUGUAGUGUGGUGUAAAAGCUCUCCAUGGCUUUAUAACGGCAAGUCUUUUCUGUGAAGAGCAGAAGAAAUUUUAUAUAGAGCAAUCUCUUAAAUCUGAGAUGAGAAGUCAGAAUGAAGUAAAAUAUAUUGCAGACAAUAUAGAACUUCACUAUUUGUUAUUUAUUUGUAUGCUAUUUUUACAUUUAAUACCUUCCUUGAAGUGUAAUUACACUACCUUGCUGCUGAAUUUAUGAGCAACAUAAAACUUUACUACUACAACAGCUUGAUGAACUACAAGAGAGUCCAUAGACUAUACCUACUAAGAAGGAUUUGUGUGUAUUGAUUAUAUUUAUAAACUCUACUAUGUGAACAAAUUGCAAAACAAAAACAUCUUUUCCUUCUGGUGUUUUCCUUACUAUAAGCUAACAUUUUACCCCUUUGGCAAAAACUGGGAGGAAAAAAGAAUGAGAUUGUAUUUAAUUAUAAUUUUAUAAUGUUGGGGUUCACAUUUAUCUUUCUAUACUACCCAGUAUAAGCAUGAGAAAAAAAGACUUUAAUCCCAUUGUCUGGCCUUAUGAAUAGCCAAAAGGCUGUUUUAUAUCAUUUCCACAAGGGUACAGAAAGCAUCUCAAUUGAAAUUACCCAUUUUUUAAAAAUUCAAGUAUAGAGUUGCAAGGAGGAGAAAGUAUCAUUUAAAAUGUGCUAGAUAUGAAGAAUGGAGCUAAACUCAGCAGAAAUAAAUCCCUACAAGUGGAAGAGAAAAGAGGCUCU